AGCCCCGUGGUGGAGUACACAUCAGAUUGCAAAUCUUAAGACGCAGACUAACGUCUGCCGGGGCUU
rnacentral:tRNA from 1 species